ensembl:processed_transcript
CCACCACGUGUGCCGUCCCUCCGGCGCCGAGUCAGGGUCUCUCGUGGAGUUUGGGUCUAGGUUAGAUUUGGAAUCGUGGAGAUGCGGAAGGACACCCCUCCUCCGCUCGUGCCCCCGGCGGCCCGCGAGUGGAACCUGCCCCCCAACGCGCCCGCAUGCAUGGAACGUCAGUUGGAGGCUGCACGGUACCGGUCUGAUGGUUCCCUUCUGCUCGGGGUCUCCAGCCUGAGUGGUCGCUGCUGGGUAGGUUCUCUGUGGUUUUUCAAGGAUCCUAGUGCGGCCCCCAACGAAGGUUUCUGCUCUGCUGGCGUCCAGACCGAGGCCGGAGUAGCUGACCUCACUUGGGUGGGGAACAAAGGUAUCCUAGUGGCUUCUGAUUCAGGUGCUGUUGAAUUGUGGGAGCUAGAUGAGAACGAGACACUUAUAGUCAGCAAGUUCUGCAAGUAUGAGCACGAUGACAUUGUGUCUACUGUCACUGUCCUGAGCUCUGGCACACAAGCUGUCAGUGGUAGCAAAGACUGCUGCAUCAAAAUUUGGGACCUGGCUCAGCAGGUGUCACUGAAUUCAUACCGAGCUCAUGCUGGACAGGUUACCUGUGUUGCUGCCUCUCCCCACAAAGACUCCGUGUUUCUUUCAUGUAGUGAGGACAGUAGAAUUUUGCUCUGGGAUACCCGCUGUCCCAAGCCGGCAUCACAGAUGGGCUGCAAUGCCUCUGGCUACCUCCCUACUGCUCUGGCUUGGCAUCCUCAGCAGAGUGAAGUCUUUGUUUUUGGUGACGAGAAUGGAUCUGUCUCCCUUGUGGACACCAAGAAUGCAGGCUGUACCCUCAGCUCAACUGUGCACUCCCAGUGUGUCACUAGACUGGUAUUCUCUCCACACAGUGUCCCCCUCCUGACUUCUCUCAGUGAAGACUGUUCACUUGCUGUGCUGGAUUCAAGCUUUUCUGAGGUGUUUAGAAGUCGAGCCCACAGAGACUUUGUGAGAGAUGCUACGUGGUCUCCACUCAAUCACUCCCUUCUUACCACAGUUGGCUGGGACCAUCAGGUCAUCCACCAUGUUGUGCCGUUAGAGCCUCUCCCAACCCCUGGACCUGACAAUGUUGUGGACUAGAACGGAUUUCAGAAAACACAAAACAAGCCCUCCGUCUGGCUGGUUCUUCUGAUGAAACACAGUGAUGGUAAGGAAACCACCUCUACUCCAGAGCAAGGGAGAUUCUCUGGUUAAGAAAUCUCCGUUCAGUGUCUCCUGAACCUCUGCCGGUCAUGGCUCCUUGGUCAGAGGUUAUCAGUCUAAUACAGUCCAACACAGGACUCUGAUUAUUUGCGGUUUGUAUGUAUCAGUAUGUGCCAGGAUCUAGACUCAUGAGGCAUUCUUUCUUCUCUGGAGCCUCAGCAAAAGGUCAGGAUGUCUGGGGCAUGCCUAAGCAGCUUUGGUGUGUGUUUGUGGGGGAUAUGGAGGCUGUUACAGUGGCCUGCUCUCUGAUUAGGCUUGUUGGCUCACUCUACUGCCCAGAAUCUGAGUCCCCUUCUUGCCCCAUGAUCUCUGCUGAUUAAUGCCUGCUCUCCUUGCCAGGUACUGCCUACAAACUGGUGUGCUAUUUCACCAAUUGGGCACAUAGUCGGCCAGGCCCUGCCUCCAUCAUGCCCCGUGACCUGGACCCCUUUCUUUGUACACACCUGAUAUUUGCCUUUGCCUCAAUGAGCAACAAUCAGAUUGUUGCCAAGAAUCUCCAGGAUGAGAAUGUUCUCUAUCCAGAGUUCAACAAACUCAAGGAGAGGAACAGGGAGCUGAAAACACUGCUAUCCAUCGGAGGGUGGAACUUCAGCACAUCACGGUUCACCACUAUGCUGUCCACACUCGCCAACCGUGAAAAGUUUAUUGAUUCAGUCAUAUCCUUCCUGAGAAUACAUGGUUUUGAUGGCCUUGACCUUUUCUUCUUGUACCCUGGACUACGAGGCAGCCCACCUCACGACCGGUGGAAUUUUCUCUUCUUAAUUGAAGAGCUCCAGUUUGCCUUCGAGAGAGAGGCCCUGCUCACUCAGCACCCACGGCUGCUUCUGUCGGCUGCUGUCUCCGGCAUCCCAAACAUCAUCCAUUCGUCUUAUGAUGCUCUGCUUUUAGGAAGGCGUUUGGAUUUCAUUAAUGUUUUGUCUUAUGACUUACAUGGAAGUUGGGAAAAGUUUACAGGACACAAUAGUCCUCUGUUCUCCUUUCCUGAAGACUCCAAAUCUUCAGCAUAUGCAAUGAAUUACUGGAGAAAGCUUGGGACACCCACAGAUAAACUUAUUAUGGGUUUUCCCACCUAUGGACGUACCUUUCACCUCCUCAAAGAGUCUAAGAAUGGAUUGCAGUCUGCCUCAAUGGGACCAGCAUCUCCUGGGAAGUACACCAAGCAGGCUGGCUUCUUGGCUUACUAUGAGGUCUGUUCCUUUGUCCAGAGAGCAAAAAAGCACUGGAUUGAUUAUCAAUAUGUCCCAUAUGCUUUUAAGGGGAAGGAGUGGCUUGGUUACGAUGACACUAUCAGUUUCAGUUACAAGCUACAGCAACAAAACCCCAAAGUGAACC